GGUUUCAUCCAUCAAGAUGAAGAUACAUCACCAUGAACUGACCCUGGGCACCGCCCAUAGCAGUGGCCUGGAGAGCACUUACAGAGCCCAGUCGACAGCGAUGAUGAGGGUGAUAUCCUCGGUGGGCAGCCCCACGGAGCAUGAAGACAACAACUGUCCCACAGGAACUGGGAUGAGGAAUGGAGGAAGAAGAACAGAUUGAAGAAAGGAAACCACAGAAGUCAAUUGGAUUGUGACAGACUCUGGGAGAUGGGGACUGCGUUUGGGAAAGGCUCUGGAUGCAGAGUGGUGGCCCCAGCCCUGGGUACAGACCAUGGGGCUGGGACAAGGAGCAGGGUAUUCUUUCUGUGACAGUUCUCCCUCCCUUAGCUGACUGCAGAGCAGAGGGAAGAGAAGCCUGAUGGAGACAGAGCUGGAAAUCCAGAUUCAGGAGGAGACCAGGUCAUUAAGAAUUGCAGAAGCAGUGGUUGCAGCGGUGGACACUGGGGAAGGGAGGCACAGAUGGCAGGUGGAAGGCAGGUGGUUUUAGUUGGAUUAUGUGGAGAAGCAACAGAGAGGCCAGGAAAACCCUUUGCCUGGUCAAAUAUGCUCCAGGAAAAUACAUGAAUCUGUGUGUCUUCAGAAAAGGAUGGUGGUUUAUAGUGUGAACUUUUUUUCAUUGUUAUAAGGAAUGUAUUUCAAUGAAAAUAGAAUAGAUAAAUAUAAUCUAAAAUGAUUAAAAUCUUUUCAAGGUAGGUAAGAUUUUUCUGUGGAUGAACUUGGGAUACACUGUAGUUGAUUUUAGAUUGUCAAUAAAGUGUUCAGAAGA